rnacentral:rRNA from 1 species
CCUACGGGUGACAGCAGUGGGGAAUAUUGCACAAUGGGGGAAACCCUGAUGCAGCGACGCCGCGUGAGUGAAGCAGUCUUUCGGUAUGUAAAACUCUGUCAGCAGGGAAGAAAAUGACGGUACCUGACCCAGAAGCCCCGGCUAACUACGUGCCAGCAGCCGCGGUAAUACGUAGGGGGCAAGCGUUAUCCGGAUUUACUGGGUGUAAAGGGAGCGUAGACGGCAGGACAAGUCUGGAGUGAAAGGGGGUGGCUGAACCGCCGGACUGCUCCGGAAACUGGCCGGCUGGAGUGCAGGAGAGGGAAGGGGAAAUACUAGGGGAGGGGGGAAAUGCGG